rnacentral:rRNA from 1 species
GACGAACGCUGGCGGCGUGCCUAAUACAUGCAAGUUGAGCGAUGAAGAUUGGUGCUUGCACCAAUUUGAAGAGCAGCGAACGGGUGAGUAACGCGUGGGGAAUCUGCCUUUGAGCGGGGGACAACAUUUGGAAACGAAUGCUAAUACCGCAUAACAACUUUAAACAUAAGUUUUAAGUUUGAAAGAUGCAAUUGCAUCACUCAAAGAUGAUCCCGCGUUGUAUUAGCUAGUUAGUGAGGUAAAGGCUCACCAAGGCGAUGAUACAUAGCCGACCUGAGAGGGUGAUCGGCCACAUUGGGACUGAGACACGGCCCAAACUCCUACGGGAGGCAGCAGUAGGGAAUCUUCGGCAAUGGACGGAAGUCUGACCGAGCAACGCCGCGUGAGUGAAGAAGGUUUUCGGAUCGUAAAACUCUGUUGGUAGAGAAGAACGUUGGUGAGAGUGGAAAGCUCAUCAAGUGACGGUAACUACCCAGAAAGGGACGGCUAACUACGUG